AUGUUGGUUCAAGCCUGUAGUCGUGCCUGGUAGGUAAAUCCGCCGGGCUUAGAUGAGGGGUGAUAACGAGGCUGCUUGCAGCCGAAGUGAGUGAUACCCUGCUUCCAGGAAAAGCCACUAAGCUUCAGCUACACACGACCGUACCGCAAACCGACACUGGUGCGCGAGAUGAGUAUUCUAAGGCGCUUGAGAGAACUCAGGAGAAGGAACUCGGCAAAUUGACACCGUAACUUCGGAAGAAGGUGUGCCUUUAGUAGGUGAACCUGUACAAGGGGAGCCCAAUGAGGUUGCAAAAAAUCGGUGGCUGCGACUGUUUAUUAAAAACACAGCACUCUGCAAACACGAAAGUGGACGUAUAGGGUGUGACGCCUGCCCGGUGCUGGAAGAUUAAAUGAUGGGGUGCAAGCUCUUGAUUGAAGUCCCAGUAAACGGCGGCCGUAACAAUAACGGUCCUAAGGUAGCGAAAUUCCUUGUCGGGUAAGUUCCGACCUGCACGAAUGGCGUAACGAUGGCCACACUGUCUCCUCCUGAGACUCAGCGAAGUUGAAAUGUUUGUGAUGAUGCAAUCUCCCCGCGGAAAGACGGAAAGACCCCAUGAACCUUUACUGUAGCUUUGUAUUGGACUUUGAACAGAUCUGUGUAGGAUAGGUGGGAGGCUUUGAAGCAGGGUCGCUAGAUCUUGUGGAGCCAACGUUGAAAUACCACCCUGGUGUGUUUGAGGUUCUAACCUAGGUCCAUUAUCUGGAUCGGGGACAGUGCAUGGUAGGCAGUUUGACUGGGGCGGUCUCCUCCCAAAGCGUAACGGAGGAGUUCGAAGGUACGCUAGUUACGGUCGGACAUCGUGACGAUAGUGCAAUGGCAUAAGCGUGCUUAACUGCGAGACUGACAAGUCGAGCAAAUGCGAAAGCAGGACAUAGUGAUCCGGUGGUUCUGUAUGGAAGGGCCAUCGCUCAACGGAUAAAAGGUACUCUGGGGAUAACAGGCUGAUACCGCCCAAGAGUUCAUAUCGACGGCGGUGUUUGGCACCUCGAUGUCGGCUCAUCUCAUCCUGGGGCUGUAGCCGGUCCCAAGGGUAUGGCUGUUCGCCAUUUAAAGAGGUACGUGAGCUGGGUUUAAAACGUCGUGAGACAGUUUGGUCCCUAUCUUCCGUGGGCGCUGCAGAUUUGAGGAAGCCUGCUCCUAGUACGAGAGGACCGGAGUGGACAUACCUCUGGUGUAUCGGUUGUCACGCCAGUGGCAUUGCCGAGUAGCUAAGUAUGGAAGAGAUAAACGCUGAAAGCAUCUAAGCGUGAAACUUGUUUCAAGAUGAGAUCUGCCGGGGCCUUGAGCCCCCUAAAGAGUCGUUCAAGACCAGGACGUUGAUAGGUCAGGUGUGGAAGCGCAGUAAUGCGUUAAGCUAACUGAUACUAAUUGCUCGUGCGGCUUGACC
rnacentral:rRNA from 1 species